ensembl:snoRNA
GCUCAGAGUUGACGUGUGCCAGAGGCGUGUACAGCCCGAACCAAGGCCCAGCUUCCUGGCUGAUGGGCUGUGAGCACUGGAGGGAGCCGUACGGUG